GCCAGGAUUAGCAGUACUGAAGAGGAAUGAAAUAUAAUUGAUGUGAACUUAAAGGAUUUUUCCUCAGACUGUGCACGAGUUGGAAUUGCUCUGGGGAUGAAUAAGAGAUCCGUGCCAAGAAAGGUUAUCAACAAUCUGCUUGCUGUGGUCCUGCGAUGGGCUACGUGUGGUGGUUCAUGGUAGCGGCAGUGGAGCAAAUGAAUGCGCCUGAGGCAACAGCAUGGGAGGUGGAUGGCUGGGAUGUGUUGUACAGUGCUUUGAUACAGGUGCACUUUCACCUAAAUGCUGCCUAAUCAGACACUCUCUGCCCCGCCUUCUCCCAUGUCAACUAAUUUUGCCAGGAGGAAAGGUGGCAGAUGGCUAGCAGAGCUCACCCUGCGCAUCCGUGGUGGCCUCAUGAGUUUCUUUUGGGCUCAGUGUACCAUCUGUGUAUCUGUGUCAACAGUUGCAGAUUAUGCUUCUCCAGCCUUCUCCAGUCUUCUGUAUACCCUUCCACCUGUGACCACUGGACACUGUCUCAUGAGAAGUUUGAAACUCUUGUUGACAAUGUGGACCCUUGGAACGUGGGUGGAGUCAGUGGAGUUACGCUUGUCUUCAACCAAAACCUGUAACUGCACUACCGUUCAGACACACUUUACCCACUAAAAGCGCUCACUGUGUGAUAUGCUGAUGAACGGUGGAUGCCUACUCACAACUGAUGGUUUUUGCUGUUUACAGACACUUGCAGUUUCACUUUGGUUCUUUUACUUACCUUAGAAGCAUAUAGAAAUUCUAGUAUUUUCCAGUCCUCUGCCAAAAAUACUUUCCUUUAAGCAGCUUCAGUGUAAUUACAUGAAUCUGGAUUCAGACUUCUUGAUAAAUCCUGUAUAAUUUAAGAAGUCCAAAUACAGCUAUGUUCACAUGAAAAAAAAAGGAAAAAAAGGUGUAUAUUUUAUAGGUGGGGGAAUGAUGUGAAGAAUUGGCAGCUCAAAUGAAACAGCAAGAAGAACCUGGUAGCAGCAUGGUGGAUAAAUCUCCCCAAUUUAUAUAUAUAUAAUUAAACGGAGCCAUGACAACCGGACGUUAUUACUAUGCUCUGCUCACCUUAUUCUUACUGUUUCAUCAUAUCCUUUGAUUUAGUGAGACAACAUACUGAUGAAAAAUGUGGUAAAAAAAUAAAUAUAUACUAUUCCACUUAAUUACAUUCAUCCUGAGCUUGCUCACCUGUGCUAGAACCUAGAAUGCCUGUUUUACACAGGAAAUCACCUGACAUUUUAACAUAAAUUCUUCUUCCAUUUAAGUUGCAGUAAAAAAGGCAUUUCAUUUCCCUUUCUGCUCUUGAAAAUAUAAACUUUCUGUGGCACUAGAAGUUGAUACAAAAGGAGACAAGUGAACAUUUAUAGUUGUUGUUGUGUUCAUCUUCAUUUCCACAA